AUUGAACGCUGGCGGAAUGCUUUACACAUGCAAGUCGAACGGUAGAGGGGGCAACCCUCGAGAGUGGCGAACGGGUGAGUAAUAUAUCGGAACGUGCCCAGUCGUGGGGGAUAACGUAGCGAAAGUUACGCUAAUACCGCAUACGAUCUACGGAUGAAAGCGGGGGACUCGCAAGAGCCUCGCGCGAUUGGAGCGGCCGAUAUCAGAUUAGGUAGUUGGUGGGGUAAAGGCUCACCAAGCCAACGAUCUGUAGCUGGUCUGAGAGGACGACCAGCCACACUGGAACUGAGACACGGUCCAGACUCCUACGGGAGGCAGCAGUGGGGAAUUUUGGACAAUGGACGCAAGUCUGAUCCAGCCAUUCCGCGUGCAGGAUGAAGGCCCUCGGGUUGUAAACUGCUUUUGUACGGAACGAAAAGGUUUCUAUUAAUACUAGGAGCUCAUGACGGUACCGUAAGAAUAAGCACCGGCUAACUACGUG
rnacentral:rRNA from 1 species